rnacentral:rRNA from 1 species
GUCCGUAGGGGAACCUGCGGGGGGCAAAAUAAUUAACCGGGGGAUCCCGUGGGUAAACCGGCGGGGGGGCAUUUAAUAAGCGGAGGGUUUCUUGGGGGAAUCAGGGGGAGGGUAAUUUCUGUCUGCGGGACAUAAAACCAUAUUAUUAAAUUUUGAAUGUAAUUUGAUGUAACGCAUCUAAUACAAAGUUUCAACAACGGAUCUCUUGGCUCUCGCAUCGAUGAAGAACGCAGCGAAAUGCGAUAAGUAAUGUGAAUUGCAGAAUUCAGUGAAUCAUCGAAUCUUUGAACGCACCUUGCGCUCCUUGGUAUUCCUCGGAGCACGCCUGUUUGAGUAUCAUGAAAUUCUCAAAACAAGUCUUUUGUUAAUUCAAUAGGCCUUUGUUUUGGACUUGGAGGUCUGCAGAUUCACAUCUGCUCCUCUUAAAUAAAUUAGCUGGAUCUCCAUGAACUUGGUUCCACUCGGCGUGAUAAGUAUCACUCGCUGAGGACACCCUUAAAAAGGUGGCCAGGCUUGAGGAUGAGCCGCUUCUAACAGUCCAUUUAAUUGGACAAAUUAAUUUAUGAUCUGAUCUCAAAUCAGGUGGGACUACCCGCUGAACUUAAGCAUAUCAAUAAGCGGAGGAAGGGGUCAUUAUUGAA